rnacentral:rRNA from 1 species
GAACGCUGGCGGCAGGCUUACACAUGCAAGUCGAGCGGUAACAUUUCUAGCUUGCUAGAAGAUGACGAGCGGCGGACGGGUGAGUAACGCGUAGGAAUCUGCCUAGUAGUGGGGGACAACAUGUGGAAACGCAUGCUAAUACCGCAUACGCCCUACGGGGGAAAGGAGGGGAUCUUCGGACCUUUCGCUAUUAGAUGAGCCUGCGUGAGAUUAGCUAGUUGGUGGGGUAAGGGCCUACCAAGGCGACGAUCUCUAGCUGGUCUGAGAGGAUGAUCAGCCACACUGGGACUGAGACACGGCCCAGACUCCUACGGGAGGCAGCAGUGGGGAAUAUUGGACAAUGGGCGCAAGCCUGAUCCAGCCAUGCCGCGUGUGUGAAGAAGGCCUUAGGGUUGUAAAGCACUUUCAGGAGUGAGGAAGGGCGUAUAGUUAAUACCUGUAUGUUUUGACGUUAACUCCAGAAGAAGCACCGGCUAACUCUGUGCCAGCAGCCGCGGUAAUACAGAGGGUGCGAGCGUUAAUCGGAAUUACUGGGCGUAAAGCGCGCGUAGGCGGUUUGUUAAGUCGGAUGUGAAAUCC